rnacentral:misc_RNA from 1 species
GACCGCACAAGAGCUGCAACUUCUUCAGCGGUUUUCCACUUAGCAAGUUGCCCAAGACGUUUUUGUCCUGCCCAUACGCUAGUGUGGAUGACCUUCAGAAAUAGCUGGCCAGUUCUUGGAUUGAAUAUAAAUAUUGCACCGUUAAUGGGUUUUGUUGUAAGGUUACCCUCAAAUGUCUUAUGAAUGGUGACACGAUACACAUUGGUGUCAUCAACAAACCAUAUUAUCUGAUUGCUGAAGAUCUCACCAUAGUUCUGGGACGACAAAUAAGGUUCUGUAGGCUCAGAAGAAUACAACUGUAAACCUUUCCUUAUCCGCUCUCUCAAGACAUAUAAGGCUGGGUUUGACUUCAUUAUCUUGUUCAUCGCCUGAGCUAGAAGUGGUUUUGAACCAGGAAACCAGUUACCAAAAGCAGAAUGCAAAUUGUAUGCCAGAUCAAG